GCUUGCUUGGUGGAUCAGUGGCGAACGGGUGAGUAACACGUGAGCAACCUGCCCUGAACUCUGGGAUAAGCGCUGGAAACGGCGUCUAAUACUGGAUAUGAGCUGCGGAGGCAUCUUCGUGGUUGGAAAGAUUUUUCGGUUUGGGAUGGGCUCGCGGCCUAUCAGCUUGUUGGUGAGGUAAUGGCUCACCAAGGCGUCGACGGGUAGCCGGCCUGAGAGGGUGACCGGCCACACUGGGACUGAGACACGGCCCAGACUCCUACGGGAGGCAGCAGUGGGGAAUAUUGCACAAUGGGCGGAAGCCUGAUGCAGCAACGCCGCGUGAGGGAUGACGGCCUUCGGGUUGUAAACCUCUUUUAGCAGGGAAGAAGCGAAAGUGACGGUACCUGCAGAAAAAGCGCCGGCUAACUACGUGCCAGCAGCCGCGGUAAUACGUAGGGCGCAAGCGUUAUCCGGAAUUAUUGGGCGUAAAGAGCUCGUAGGCGGUUUGUCGCGUCUGCUGUGAAAACCCGAGGCUCAACCUCGGGCCUGCAGUGGGUACGGGCAGACUAGAGUGCGGUAGGGGAGAUUGGAAUUCCUGGUGUAGCGGUGGAAUGCGCAGAUAUCAGGAGGAACACCGAUGGCGAAGGCAGAUCUCUGGGCCGUAACUGACGCUGAGGAGCGAAAGGGUGGGGAGCAAACAGGCUUAGAUACCCUGGUAGUCCACCCCGUAAACGUUGGGAACUAGUUGUGGGGUCCAUUCCACGGAUUCCGUGACGCAGCUAACGCAUUAAGUUCCCCGCCUGGGGAGUACGGCCGCAAGGCUAAAACUCAAAGGAAUUGACGGGGACCCGCACAAGCGGCGGAGCAUGCGGAUUAAUUCGAUGCAACGCGAAGAACCUUACCAAGGCUUGACAUACACGAGAACGCUGCAGAAAUGUAGAACUCUUUGGACACUCGUGAACAGGUGGUGCAUGGUUGUCGUCAGCUCGUGUCGUGAGAUGUUGGGUUAAGUCCCGCAACGAGCGCAACCCUCGUUCUAUGUUGCCAGCACGUAAUGGUGGGAACUCAUGGGAUACUGCCGGGGUCAACUCGGAGGAAGGUGGGGAUGACGUCAAAUCAUCAUGCCCCUUAUGUCUUGGGCUUCACGCAUGCUACAAUGGCCGGUACAAAGGGCUGCAAUACCGCGAGGUGGAGCGAAUCCCAAAAAGCCGGUCCCAGUUCGGAUUGAGGUCUGCAACUCGACCUCAUGAAGUCGGAGUCGCUAGUAAUCGCAGAUCAGCAACGCUGCGGUGAAUACGUUCCCGGGUCUUGUACACACCGCCCGUCAAGUCAUGAAAGUCGGUAACACCUGAAGCCGGUGGCCCAACCCUUGUGGAGGGAG
rnacentral:rRNA from 1 species